CUAGGAAGUUGUAAACAUGACAAUGCAAGAAAACACAAAGCAGAAUCUCUUAUUAUUUAAGCAGUAAUAAGAUAAGAGAGGAUAUUGCAUGUUCUAGGCAUGGUUGUUGUCCUCCACUGGAGGAUACUUCCCAUAAGGUGGUUUCUUGUAUGGUGGCUUUUCGUAUGGUGGCUUGUAGUAAGGUGGUUUUGGCUUGUAAAUAGGAGGCUUGUAAAUUGGAGGCUUGUAAAUUGGAGGCUUGUAAUAGAUGGGAGGCUUGUAAAUGGGAGGCUUCUUGAUUGGUUUGUAAUAAGUAGCAAAACCUUGAGGAAUGAGGAUUAGGGCAGCAAGAACAAACACCAGAAAGCUUGAAAAGGAAGCCAUGUUAAAGAUUGGUGUGCAUAACAGACUGAGUAAUGUGUUCAUAUAUAUAGUAGUUAGGAGGGGUCAUUGUAGGUGUAAGGUCUAAAUCUAGGUCAUUAAUGAUUUGCUUUGUCAUAUUAUGGUAUUUGCCAAAGUUCGGUGUGAUUAUUCAAAAUUGAUUUAGAAAUUAUACAUUGAUAUACACAAAUAUUUUACAUUCAUUUAAUACUUGUUAUUUUUUACUCAAUUGUGCUAAAAAAUAUUUUUUAUAGUAAUUAAAAUCCAUGAGAUAUAAAAAAUGAAGCAGUGACACUAUUAUAGAUAUGAAAAGUUUUUUUAUUUGGAUUGGACUUAGAACUGAUGUAAAAAGUGGCUCAGUAACAAAAUUGUAAUAAAUUACAAUUUUUUUAUACCAAUUACACUCAUAAUUGAAUAGAAAGUCGAUUUUCUAUACUAGUUAGACUUAGAACCGAUAUAGAAAGUGUGGUGGUAACAAAACUAUAAUAUUAAACAAACUUUUCUAUAUUCAUUGCAAUCAGAACAAAUAUAGAAAGUUGUUUUUCUAUCCUGGUUAGUCAAUAUAACCGGGAUAUAAUAUUUAAUAUUCAUCUCCUUCUUCUUUUUGCGCUUCAAUUUCGCAAAACUCUUUUUCUUGUUCUCUCUAUGCUUCACCUUCAUUACUUUUCGCUCUCUCUGUGCUUGGCUUCCAUUCAUUCUUGGUCUCUCUACGUUUCCAAUAGUUCACUAAAGUCGCUUGUGCUAUCGUUUGUGGUUGUUGUUUUUGUCAUCGCUGUGGUCGUUGUUUGUUGUCGAUUUUUUAGUCGCGGUGGUUGUUGAAGUUAUCACUGUUGUAGGUCAAGUUGUGGUUCAUCUUUGUCAUCAAUGGUUGGUAUUGCAGUGCCUAUUUUCAUGGAGGUUGGAGUCGUUGUUGUGGUGUCAUUGUUAUCACUGCAUUUUUUCUUCCUCUUGCGUUGAAGCUUUCUUGGUUGCGUUGUUGGUGUUGUAGUAGUGUGGUGAGUAACACUAAAGCUUCCUUGUGUGGUAUGGUAGGUCGUUGCACGUGGUGUUUUUUUGAUCGUUUUGUUGUGGUUCUUGGCAAAUUUUAAACCUUAAUUUACUAUUGUUGAGGAUGUUGUGUUUUGACGUAUUUAUUGUUACAUUGCAUUCGUUGGGAGGAAAAUUUAAUAUUGUGAGGUUUUCCAUUUUUUGGAGCUUUCCAUGUUUGUGUUAUUGCAUUCAAUUGGUGUGAUUACUCUUUUGUGUUAGAAUUUAUGAGAAAAAAGUGAGGUAUAAAAAUCAAUAGGUUUGAAUCUCUACAAAUGAUGAGGCUGCAAGUGAGUAGAUUUUUGGUGGUGAUCAAAAUCACCAAAUAAGUUGUAGGCAAAAGAAAAAUGGAGAUCAAUACGAGUCCUAAUUAGAAAGACUAUUUGGGAAUGAGAUAUCAAUCUCUUAAAUACGUUGAAGUGAAGCGUAUUGAACUAAAUCCAUUGAUUAAUUCUUUAUGUUGUGGUUUGGUAUGACUAAGUUCACAUAUUGGACUCAUGUUUAACUGUUUCUUAGAUCUACCUAAAAGUAGAGGUGUUGGUUUUUACAUAUAAUAAUGGAUAGGUGUUGAAUAAAUUUUAUACGCAUAACAAAUGAAUAUGGGAGCAGAGUAGAACAAUUUCUUGAGUUUGCAAAGACAAGUGUUCUAGACAAUAACAAAAGAUUUUAUUGCUCAUGUGUUAAUUGUUUGAAUGGAUGAAAACUAUCAACUGAAGUUCUUUGGGAGCAUGUUGUUCUCCUAAAGUUACACAAAAUGGACAUGACAUAGUGAAUUAAUAGACACACCUAGUGCAUCCAGAAUGCACUAAGUAUACUUUAUUGUCAAUGGUAUCAAAACACUUUGGAGUCAUAUUAUAUGCAUUUGGAGUCAUAUAAUAUGCAUUUGCAUUCUUAAGAGAAGAUUCUCGUGAUUCUUGGAUUAUAACACUGAUUCUUAUCAAAGAUUAACAUCUUUCUGGAGAACUUUCACUCGACUUAUUAAUCUGCUAGAUUGUGGCUUCCCUAUCCUUGUCUCAUUCUGCAUUCUUCUAUGAUUUAUUCAAGAGAUAGUCCUCUAUUAUACCUUUUUUUCUUAAAAAGAAUUUUUCCUCAAAUUUGUAUAACUUAAAUAUUCCUUAUCAUUUUAAGAAGUUAGAACAACUAGAAAAUGAGGUUGUGGUCAUAUUAUGCCUAUUAGAUAUGUACUUUACACACACGCAGACAAGGACACACACACACAGACUCACAAAUACACAGUCACACACACAAACACACACACACACACAUAAACACACACACACACACAUACAUAAAUGGACAUGCGCGCGCACACACAAAGACACACACACCCAGAAACACACAUACAUAGACACACACACACCCACAAACACACAUACAUAGACACACACACACACACAAACACAAACACACAUACACACAAACAUAGACACACACACCCACAAACACACAUACACACAAACAUAGACACACACUCCCACAAACACAAACAUAAACAUACACACAAACACACACACACACACACAAACAAAUUGACAUACAGAUAGACACAUACAGACACACAAGAAGUCAUCCCAAAAGAAGUCAUCCCCUUCUUAAGUGCUCAUAAAUAUAUUGUUAAAAGAAAGAAAUAAUCCACGAAUACUUCAGAAGUUGGUUAUUAAUGAGCACAACAAAACCUUUUUAAAGUGGUUCAAACAACAUGUUCAAGCUUACCAUACAACCUCUGACACAUUAAAUUGAAUACCAAGUGAACCAAACUUUGAUGUCAUAUGUUGGAGUGGGUAUGAUAUGAAAAAUUAUACAUUUCAUACAAAGAAAAUGAAAAAAAAAACACCACUCACAAUAAUGGAGUAAUAGUUGUGGUUGAGUCAAUGCAUUUCUUGAGUUCAAAGGAUAAAAAUCCUUUUAUGGCAUCAAUGUGCUACUUUCGUGUUAUGGAAGAUAUUUGGGUGAUAGAUUACACAAGUUUCAGAGUACUUAUUUUUAAAUGGGUUGAUUGUAAUAUUGGCAUAAGGACCAAUGAUCUAAGUUUUACAUUGUGCAGAUAUUACAAUUCUUGUUGCUUUCUUGAUGCCUUGGAGAUUUCUUGAGACCUUUGAAUGUUUCUUGUUGUGUACUUGUACUUAAACUCAAUGCUUUGUUAGAAUAUUGCAAAUGAAAUUCGUAAUGAGACAGGUUUCAAUAUAGAUAUAUAUAGGAUAUGACAUUCUGGUGUAGUUUAAUUGAUUAGAUAAAAACCUUAAUCGAUUAAGCCGAAGUUUAUGUUUCAAUGACAUUAUGGUGCAGUUUAAUCGAUUAGGUAAAACCUUAAUUGAUUAGGCCAAAGUUUCUGUUUUAAUCGAUUAGGUUAUUAAUGUUAUCAAUUAAAACAGACAAUUUUGUCAUUUUUUUCUUCUUAUGAGUUCUGACAUGCUUUAACUGAUUGCUAACUAACAUAAUGGAUUAAUAGCAUCAAAAUUGCAGAUUGUAAACUGUCUAACCCAGUUACAUUCAUCUAUACAUGAUAUAUGUAUCUAACAUGAUUUUCCUAUGAUUUUAAACAUUGAUCCAUCAAGAAAGAACAUAUGAUUAAUUCAUCAUCAAAAACAUUUUACCAAAUUUAGAAGGGAAAAGCUCCCCCUUUCAACACUAACCGGUAUAAAAAGUUACUUUUUAUAUACAAAUUUAUCUCUUUCCUAAUAAACUUUUUAUAUCGGUUUCAGAUUCAGUAUAAAAAGUCAAAUACUUUCUAUACCGAUUCAAAAACUGGUAUAAAUUUUUUUUAACUCAUAUAAAAAAGCUUUUCUGAUAUAGUGACUCUUCCUUUUCUUUUUAAAAUAUAAAAGUUUAUGUUUUUAAGACUAUUUUAAUCUUAUAAUAUGUGUCAAAUGAAUAUAAAUGUAUCUUAUCCUACUAUGACUUGAUUUAGACCCUUUAGUCUUGUGUGGCAUUGUUGCAAAUCAAGAAUCUCAACAAAAUCUAUAUAUUUAUCCAUAAAGAUCUCUAAAGAAAUAUAUAAAAAAGGAAAACCCAAAAAUUAAUUUUUUUAUAAAUUACAAUAAUUUAUACGAGUUAGAAAUAAAAAAAAAAAUUGGUAACAAAGUUUUUUCAAUCAGUUUAAUCACUAAUUUCAUUUUUCGUAUUUUUUGUUUUAAAAGUUCUUGAAGAAAGAACUCGUACAAGAUUAAAUAUAUUUUUAAAAUGUAAAUUAAUUUAUGUAUACUAUACACAUAUAUACAGACUAUAUUACAUUUUGAUUUAUAUUUUAAUGAUAAAUUAAAAGUAUUAUUUUAAUUUAUUUAAAUACGACUACUAAUUUAAAUUCAAACAGAAAAAAUUAAAUAUAGUGGUGUUCCUUUCAAAUUAAAUUGAAACAUUCGAAACUUUUAAAUAUUAUUAAAAAUAAAAUAAUAUAUACGUUAAAAGAAGUUCUAUGAAUGUUUCUAAUCCAUAGAAUUUUAUAUGGUUUAUGAGUUGUUUUUAUCUUGUGAAUUUUUUUAAUAAAGGAUUUAUUUCAGCUGUCAGUUUUUUUAAUCCAAAUUCAUAUGGUGAAAUCCUAUAAAAUAAUACUAUAAAAUGCACUAAGACGUAUCUAAUUAACCAUAAACAUAAAGGUCUUUUUAUUCAUAAUUUUGUAGUACAAUUAAGAAGCAUAUUUUUUAUUUGAUUUACAUUCACAUAGACAUAAGUCUGAUGGUCUUGUCUUGAACACAACAUCAUAACUUACACAAAGCAUUGAAGUGAGCAAAGAAUACUGAUUCAUUCAUUGCUAGGAAGUUGUAAACAUGACAAUGCAAGAAAACACAAAGCAGAUUCUCUUAUUAUUUAAGCAGUAGUAAGAUAAGAGAGGAUGUUGUUGCAUGUUCUAGGCAUGGUUGUUGUCUUCCACUGGAGGGUACUUUCCAUAAGGUGGUUUCUUCUUGUAUGGUGGCUUUUUGUAUGGUGGUUUGUAGAAAGGUGGUUUUGGCUUGUAAAUGGGAUGCUUAUAAAUAGGAGGCUUGUAAAUUGGAUGCUUCUUGAUUGGUUUGUAAUAAGUAGCAAAACCUUGAGGAAUGAGAAUUAGGGCAGCAAGAAGUAACACCAGAAAGCUUGAAAAGGAAGCCAUUUUUAGGGUUGGUGUGUUAGCAGACUGAGUAAUAUGUUAGUAUAUAUAGUAGUAAGGAAGUUCAAUGUAUUAUGUAGGUGUAAUGUCUCAAUCUAGGUCAUUAAUGAUUUGCUUUGUCACACUUUGAUAUUUGCCAAAGUUUGGUGUGAUUAUUCAUCAUUGAUUUAGACCCUUUGGUCCCA
rnacentral:lncRNA from 1 species